rnacentral:rRNA from 1 species
AUUGAACGCUGGCGGCAGGCCUAACACAUGCAAGUCGAGCGGAGCUGCGGACGGGUGAGUAAUGCCUAGGAAUCUGCCUGGUAGUGGGGGAUAACGUCUGGAAACGGGCGCUAAUACCGCAUACUAUCAGAUGAGCCUAGGUCGGAUUAGCUAGUUGGUGGGGUAAUGGCCUACCUAGGCGACGAUCCGUAACUGGUCUGAGUGGUUAAUCAGUCACACUGGAACUGAAACACGGUCCAAGCUCCUACGAGAGGCAGCAGUGGGGAAUAUUGGACAAUGGACGAAAGCCUGAUCCAGCCAUGCCGCGUGUGUGAAGAAGGUCUUCGGAUUGUAAAACACUUUAAGUUGGGAGGCGUUACCAACAGAAUAAGCACCGGCUAACUUCGUGCCAGCCGCCGCGGUAAUAC